rnacentral:rRNA from 1 species
UACGGAGGGUGCAAGCGUUGUUCGGAAUUACUGGGCGUAAAGCGCGUGUAGGCGGCCUGGCAAGUCAGGCGUGAAAGCUCUGGGCUUAACCGAGGAAGUGCGUCUGAAACUGCCAGGCUUGAGUACGGGAGAGGGGGGCGGAAUUCCCAGUGUAGAGGUGAAAUUCGUAGAUAUUGGGAGGAACACCGGUGGCGAAAGCGACCUCCUGGACCGAUACUGACGCUGAGACGCGAGAGCGUGGGUAGCAAACAGG